CUGAAAGCAAGUGUCCAAACUCCUGGAACCAACUUUCUCUGAACUCAGGAGUUAAUCAGGCUUGCAGUAGAGUGUUUGUGUCAGAAACUACCAAUUCUUGAUAAAACAGUGAUGGUUGGCACAGCUUAAUUUGCCCAUCCCCCACUAUAAACCCAUGGUAGCCUUGUAAACCAUCAGUCCAUUAUCACAGUGAAGACCAGCCUGGCAGCUACUGGACAUAAACAAGCUUGCACAUCUACAGGGACAUUCGUAAAAAUUGCUUUACUGGAUGGUUGCUCACUAGAAAUCGCCCGCUUGCCUUCAUUUGGUGAGAGUGAGAGCUUGCUUAGCUUGAUAACAUUUUCCCUUACGCUAGCUCUUCAAAAACACAGCAGUUUGAUAUUAAGGCUUCCACAGGAAGUAGAAAUCUGUUGGGUAAACAGUAUAUUACCCAAAAAGCCUAGAGGGAAAUCUGAAGAAGUUAAUGUCGGCUUGCUGGGGCUUUGGAAGUUUCUAGGAUUCAGAAUGCACAAGCUCGGGCUGUGAGUGCCUGCUCAGGACCAAGCUGAAGUGCUCCCAACUCUCACCAGGGAGAGAGCACAGCCCACUAAAUAGUGAUGAAGGAAUGUCUGGGCAGACUACAAUGGCCUAACACAUCAAAAGAACUCAACUUCACCAGAAUAAUUAAGAGACCAUCACCAGCCUUAGACAGGCAUAGGAGACUGACUUUAUAAGCAUUUUAUUAUUUAAUGUGUCAAAUUUUCAACAAAUAAGAUAUGGACAAGGUGUGGCCCAGUGCAUAAGGAAGCAGAAAGCAGCAAUAAAUAGAAAUUGAGGAAGGGCAGAUGUUGAACAUAAGACUUCGAGAAAGCUAAAUGAAAUAUGUUAAAACCUAUAGAACACUUUAAAGAGAUAAGAGAAAGCAUAGUGUAGCCUAAAAAUAAAGAUAAUGUGCAGAUGAUGUAGAAGAAUAUUUGCUAUCAGAAAAAUGGUGAUGACAUUUGAACCACCAAAUAAAUAAAUAAAUAUAGAUAAAGAUAUGGUGCACAUGACUGUUGUAGCACUUAAGACUGAAUAGGACUGAAUAUGAGGUUAAGCUAACUCGAGGAAGAAAAUUCUGAAGUUAAAAAGCACAAUUACCAAAGUUGAGAAGGGCUCCUGUGUCAAUUGAGAUUAUGCAGUUUGAGGAGCUUGAAGAUGGCUCAGAGGUUCAGGAAACUUGCUGAGUGAUCAUGAGGACCAGAAAUCCCAGCACCCAAGAGAAGCUUGUCAUCCUGCCAAAGGCCUGUAACUCCAUGGUCUGCGUGGGCACACACAGUCACGUGCACACAUUUAUAUAUUUAUACACACAUUAAAAAACAAACCAAAAAUGGGAUUUAACCAGAGUUCCCAGUCAUUUGUAUUUCCCAAAGACUAGGGAAACAUUCACAUCUAUAGUGCAAGUUGUAGCUACACAACUAAAAUACCUAAACAAACAGGUGAUCUUCCCAUAUGGUGAGAUAUUCAGCCAUAAAGAAAAAUGAGGUAUUGUUGUCUAUAGCAUGGGUGAACCAUGAGGACAUGCUAACUGAAAGAAACCUUGGAUCAGUUAUCUGACCCUAUAUGUCACAUUCUGCACUUUGGAGUAGUAGACAAUACCCAUCAAACAGCUCUUGUCUAUUUGGAAAUUGUAGCCAGUCUAUCCAACAUUUGGUACCAGUUCAUCCAGACUCCUUAGUUUUCAACAUACUUGAGUUAGCCACAAAAUAAUCCAUUUUCCAUUUUGUGUCACCUCUUGACCUGCUUAGUCAGCACCAGGUCAUAAGACAAAGUCCAAGAACAUGAAAGGAGUUUGUCAUGAUAUGUAGGGCUCUUCAUCCAUACAAAGUUUUGUAUAAUUUGUAAAAAUACUGCCAAGUCAAUUUCAUCGCCCAUGUUAAAACCAUUUCCUAUCAACCUAUACAGAGCUUUAACUGUAGCACUAGGUAUCCAUGAGCAAAUUGAAAUUUGUUCAAUUGAAAUUCAAUCUGGGGAUUGAUUGUCUCUAAUCUCUCCUGUGUCUCUUCUCUUGUGUGUCCAGUGUAGGCUCAUCUCCACAAAUCCAGAAGUGUAUUUGAGCUCCUCUUAUUCUGAUGGACGAUGGGUUAAAUGCUCUAAGGGAGCUGCAGAAAACCGCACCCAAAAGAUGGCGCUGGUUUCCGCCCUCCGCCAGCCCGACGGCGAGCGCUCUCUGUGGUAAACAACUCCAAAUAUGGUAAAGGUCAUGUAUCCUCUUAAUUCUGCUUGGAGACAACCUAUCCUGGCGCGCCACGUAGGGUUAGGUGAUUGGUAGAUGUAGACUAUAUCAGGCCCCGUCUCCCUCGACCCGGGGCCGCCGCCUCCAUUAUACAUUGUACAAAGCAAAGAGGUUCCCGAUUAAACUGUGUUUGAAGAAG
ensembl:lncRNA